UCUCUGGUAGUUUAAUAAGAAUGUGGGAUUGCAAAUCCCGCGGUAAGACUUGUCUUGUGGGGAU
rnacentral:tRNA from 1 species